rnacentral:rRNA from 1 species
UACGUAGGCAGCAAGCGUUGUUCGGAAUUACUGGGCGUAAAGAGUGUGUAGGCGGUGCUCUAAGUUUGGUGUGAAAUCUCCCGGCUCAACUGGGAGGGUGCGCCGAAAACUGGAAUGCUUGAACAUGGGAGAGGAAAGCGGAAUUCCUGGUGUAGCGGUGAAAUGCGUAGAUAUCAGGAGGAACACCUGCGGUGUAGACGGCUUUCUGGACCGAUACUGACGCUGAGGAGCGAAAGCCAGGGGAGCAAACGGG